rnacentral:rRNA from 1 species
ACGCACGCUGGCGGCGUGCUUCACACCUGCAAGUCGAACGGAAAGGCCCUGCUUUUGUGGGGUGCUCGAGUGGCGAACGGGUGAGUAACACGUGAGUAACCUGCCCUUGACUUUGGGAUAACUUCAGGAAACUGGGGCUAAUACCGGAUAGGAGCUCCUGAUGCAUGGUGGGGGUUGGAAAGUUUCGGCGGUUGGGGAUGGACUCGCGGCUUAUCAGCUUGUUGGUGGGGUAGUGGCUUACCAAGGCUUUGACGGGUAGCCGGCCUGAGAGGGUGACCGGCCACAUUGGGACUGAGAUGCGGCCCAGACUCCUACGGGAGGCAGCAGUGGGGAAUAUUGCACAAUGGGCGGAAGCCUGAUGCAGCAACGCCGCGUGCGGGAUGACGGCCUUCGGGUUGUAAACCGCUUUCGCCUGUGACGAAGCGUGAGUGACGGUAAUGGGUAAAGAAGCACCGGCUAACUACGUG